UUUCAAUAUUUCUAUUAAUAAUUAUUAUCAAUUUCAAUGUGUACACUCCUAAGUUGUAACCUUUUCACUUUCAAAUCCUUUACAAAUCUAUUGUAGGAAGCAUGUCAUCAACUACUUAUGUCAAUUACCCACAUCAAUGCUGCUAGCUAAUCAGGUCGUAGCAGGAUUUGUUUUCGCUCAAUCGAUGUAUGACUAUUGAACAGCGGUAUACUACUGUUGCCUUUAUUUAGCCAAAAGUAUGUAUUGAUACUGGUUCAAGCUGAGUUUUCAAUGGAGAUGAUGGCAUGCCAACAUGUCCUAUGGUAUUACAUUGGAGAGCACUCAGUGUUUUAGAGGAAAUUUUGGCAUUUUAGACAUCAAAAGUUUAGUGACAAUAGAACACAGGUGAUAACAAGGUAGAUACUGAAAUCUCUGGUUAUUUGAUGACCUGGGCAGGUAUUGAAAAAUCUUGGAUGAACGCUUCAAUUCCCGGCUGUGACUCGCAGAAAAGGAAUAGUUGACAGGUAUGGCAAACAUGAACUCCACCAAGUGAAUCCUACAAGAAAAAGAAAACAGUAGGACACAUCAAGGCAGCCAUAUAUGUCUCUAGAUUUUCAAGUGAACAAAACAAUCAAAACAAACUGGAAUAUCAAACAUGAACUGUUAAUUAUUUGCAAUAUACCAUCAACUGAUGGUUUUUUUACUUAUUUUAUUUUGCUAUAUGUCACUAUAUUGAAUUAUAUAAAUUUG